rnacentral:rRNA from 1 species
UGGCGGCGAGUGGCGAACGGGUGAGUAACACAUCGGAACGUACCGGCUAGUGGGGGAUAACCCGUCGAAAGACGGGCUAAUACCGCAUACGCUCUUCGGAGGAAAGCAGGGGACCUUUGGGCCUUGCGCUAGCCGAGCGGCCGAUGUCCGAUUAGCUAGUUGGUGGGGUAAAGGCCUACCAAGGCGACGAUCGGUAGCGGGUCUGAGAGGACGAUCCGCCACACUGGGACUGAGACACGGCCCAGACUCCUACGGGAGGCAGCAGCGGGGAAUCUUGGACAAUGGGGGCAACCCUGAUCCAGCAAUGCCGCGUGGGUGAAGAAGGCCUUCGGGUUGUAAAGCCCUUUCGGCAGGGAAGAAAUCGGCGGGGCGAAUAACCCUGCUGGAUGACGGUACCUGCAGAAGAAGCACCGGCUAACUACGUGCCAGCAGCCGCGGUAAUACGUAGGGUGCGAGCGUUAAUCGGAUUUACUGGGCGUAAAGCGUGCGCAGGCGG